rnacentral:lncRNA from 1 species
ACGAACCUCAGCUACUUCUCUUGCCAAAUGUUACACUAUGCCCAUUUAAAGUUACAUUUUUCUACAUCCAUUUUGACCAUUAACUUACCUCCACCAAUGCAUCUUUACAGGAAUAUUGUGCAAGGUCACGAAUUCCAUUCAUAAACUGCUUGUUGGCCAAACAGAAAGCUUUCCCAGUAUCAAUCAUUGCAAUACAAAGCUUUACCAGCUUGUCAAGUUUCAGUUCCAGUUCUGCCACAUCUCCUUCUACUUCUUCUAAAGCUGCCCUGAAGCGCGGCGAGUCCUUCAGGCACUCCUCGAAGUCCACGGUCACCUUCAUGCUGCCCGGCGGCGGGGCUGCGCUGCGGAGUGCGGGGCGAGUCCGCGCCGAGGCCGGCGGCCGGGCGGGGCGGGGCUGGGCUGGGCUACGAGGGG